UUCUAGAUUGAAGAAAUGCAACGCUGUCUGACUGGCGGUUAGGGAACAACCGAACGAAGCUAUCUUUCGGAAGUGUAAUCGUCUGAAAGAUUCAUUGUAGACCCAAUCUUCAAACUCCUAACAUGUUGAAAUCUUAUGUGCCAGGUAAUGGACAAGUGCAGUGGGUUGGAGGAAUAAGGGUUGUGGUGCCUUGAAGAUGACAUAUUUAAAAGGUUGAUUCCUGACCUCACUUGGCUUUGCACUGGCUGGUUGUAUCCUCCAGGAUUCACUGCUUUAAUGUUAUCGAGGAAUUAAGAGAAGAUUCCAUGACAAGACAUUUCUUGGAGGAUGGAUGUUGACUGUUACGGCUGUGGAGGAGGCAGUGGGCGUGCAUUACACCAGAUGAGAUCCAAUUAUUAAGGUGUUGGCGAUUCUUAAGGUUGUUAUGUUUAAUAACCGCAGUCGGUUGUUGAGCUAAUGUGCCAGGAACAAUGGAGUUUCAUUUUCUUUCGUUUCGAGAAGUUUGCUGCUGGUGAUUUCAUGAUUUACGUAGUAGAUUAUGUGGCAUUGCUUCUUGGUCAACGUCAUCGGGAUCGGAGGAGUUCAUAUUAUACAAGGUACAUAUGUAUGGGGGACGUUGGAUUUAAUUAUGUCGGCCUAGGGAAUUAAAAGUAAUUAAAAAUACCUUGAUUGUAAAUUUAUGAUCAUGUUUCCUGUGUUUCUUAUAAUUAUGAAGACCUACCCUAGUCCCUGAUGGUUGUCAAUUUACGAUCCGUUGUUAUACGUCCGUGAAAUGGUAUGGAAUUCUGAAACUUUCUAAAGAAUGUCGCAGUGUUGAAGGUAGUUGGAUUUGGAGUGAAGUAUUUAGGGAAGUCUUGAUGAAGAAUUAUGGACAAAAAUGACAAGUGGAAAAUUAAUUAUGGGGGAAAUAUUAAAUACUAUACUUUAUUAAAUAAAAGUGUAUAGUAAUAUCAUAUUUUAAUUCGUGUAUCUUUUCUAGUUGCAUUACACAAUGUAUGUAAUCCAUGUA